rnacentral:rRNA from 1 species
UACGGAGGGUGCAAGCGUUAUCCGGAUUCACUGGGUUUAAAGGGUGCGUAGGCGGAUUAGUAAGUCAGUGGUGAAAGCCCAUCGCUUAACGGUGGAAUUGCCAUUGAUACUGCUAGUCUUGAGUAUGGUUGAGGUGGGCGGAAUGUGUCAUGUAGCGGUGAAAUGCUUAGAUAUGACCCAGAACACCAAUUGCGAAGGCAGCUCGCUAAGCCAUAACUGACGCUGAUGCACGAAAGCGUGGGGAGCAAACAGG